AGUAUCUUUGUGGGAGCCCAGGAGUCCAGCAGAGAGGUCCCAGCACACCCUUGGAGGAAAAAAUUUGAGAAUAGACACAUUGCAGAGGCAUUACCCUGAUACCAAAGCCAGACAAAGCUAUUACAAGAAAAGAAAAUUAUAGGCUAAUGUCCCUGAUGAAGAUUGAAGGAUAAACAUCAUAUCAUCUCAGCAGAUGCAAGAAAAGCAUUUGGCAAAAUUCAACAUCCUUCCCCCAUAAACAUUCUCAACAAAUUUAGGUAUAGAAGAACGUAGCUCAACAUAAUAAAAGCCAUGUAUGACUAGAACCCAGCUGACAUCAUUCUCAAUAGUGAAAAGCUGAAAGCAUUUCCUCUAAGAUCAGGGAUAAGACCAGAGUGCCCACUCUCACAACUUGCAUUCAAC
rnacentral:lncRNA from 1 species